rnacentral:rRNA from 1 species
UACGAAGGGGGCUAGCGUUGCUCGGAAUGACUGGGCGUAAAGGGCGCGUAGGCGGUUUGUACAGUCAGAUGUGAGAUUCCUGGGCUUAACCUGGGGGCUGCAUUUGAUACGUGCAGACUUGAGUGAGGAAGAGGGUUGUGGAAUUCCCAGUGUAGAGGUGAAAUUCGUAGAUAUUGGGAAGAACACCGGUGGCGAAGGCGGCAACCUGGUCCUUGACUGACGCUGAGGCGCGAAAGCGUGGGGAGCAAACAGG